UACGGAGGGAGCUAGCGUUGUUCGGCAUUACUGGGCGUAAAGCGCACGUAGGCGGCUUUGUAAGUUAGAGGUGAAAGCCUGGAGCUCAACUCCAGAACUGCCUUUAAGACUGCAUCGCUUGAAUCCAGGAGAGGUGAGUGGAAUUCCGAGUGUAGAGGUGAAAUUCGUAGAUAUUCGGAAGAACACCAGUGGCGAAGGCGGCUCACUGGACUGGUAUUGACGCUGAGGUGCGAAAGCGUGGGGAGCAAACAGG
rnacentral:rRNA from 1 species